AUUGAACGCUGGCGGCAUGCCUUACACAUGCAAGUCGAACGGCAGCACGGGAGCAAUCCUGGUGGCGAGUGGCGAACGGGUGAGUAAUAUAUCGGAACGUGCCCAGUCGUGGGGGAUAACGUAGCGAAAGCUACGCUAAUACCGCAUACGAUCUACGGAUGAAAGCGGGGGAUCGCAAGACCUCGCGCGAUUGGAGCGGCCGAUAUCAGAUUAGGUAGUUGGUGAGGUAAAGGCUCACCAAGCCGACGAUCUGUAGCUGGUCUGAGAGGACGACCAGCCACACUGGGACUGAGACACGGCCCAGACUCCUACGGGAGGCAGCAGUGGGGAAUUUUGGACAAUGGGCGCAAGCCUGAUCCAGCAAUGCCGCGUGCAGGAUGAAGGCCUCGGUGUAA
rnacentral:rRNA from 1 species